UGGGGAAUAUUGCACAAUGGAGGGAACUCUGAUGCAGCGACGCCGCGUGAGUGAUGAAGGAAUUCGUUUCGUAAAACUCUGUUCUAUGGGAAGAAAAGGACUGUACCAUAGGAGAAAGCUCCGGCUAAAUACGUGCCAGCAGCCGCGGUAAUACGUAUGGAGCGAGCGUUGUCCGGAAUUAUUGGGCGUAAAGGGUGCGCAGGCGGCUUUACAAGUUGGAUGUGAAAUAUUGUGGCUCAACCACAAACGUGCAUCCAAAACUGCAAAGAUCGAGUUAAGGAGAGGUAAGUGGAAUUCCUGGUGUAGCGGUGGAAUGCGUAGAUAUCAGGAGGAAUACCGGUGGCGAAGGCGACUUACUGGAAUUAAACUGAAGCUCAGGCACGAAAGCGUGGGGAGCAAACAGG
rnacentral:rRNA from 1 species